rnacentral:rRNA from 1 species
UACGGAGGGUGCGAGCGUUGUCCGGAAUCACUGGGCGUAAAGGGCGCGUAGGUGGCCGAGCAAGGUCGCGGUGAAAGCCCGGGGCUCAACCCCGGGUCGGCCGUGGCAACUACUGGGCUGGAGCACUGUAGGGGCAGAUGGAAUUCCGGGUGUAGCGGUGGAAUGCGUAGAGAUCCGGAAGAACACCGGUGGCGAAGGCGGUCUGCUGGGGUCGAACUGACGCUGAGGCGCGACAGCGUGGGGAGCAAACAGG